UCGGUCAUAGCUCAAUGGUUAGAGCACGGGUCUGAUACACCCGCGACCACGGUUCAACUCCGUGUGACCGUACCA
rnacentral:tRNA from 4 species